ACUUGUGAUCAUAAAAUUCCAGACUUCUACAAAUCAUACCAAAAAAUAUUGUAUCUUUUUUGUGAUUAGGAUGUAAUUGCAGGAUCAAGAAUUGGUUCAGCCGAUAUAACAUAGUCCAGAUUGACACUUCUAGUUCAAUAAAAGGAAAUGGACACAGUUUUUUAUCCAUAAAAGACACAGGAAGUAGGAUAUAAAGAUAUUCGAGGUGCGACAAUUAAUCUUUCCGAGAAAAAAAAUAUCCUUGUAGGAGAGUUACUACGAUUGGUUCACAACUAUCCCACAAUAUCUAGAUCACAUCUCAAAUAAACUUCAACAUAAUCUCCUUGAUGCAUUGUCGGUAAACUAUCAUUAUUCAACCCACAGA